rnacentral:rRNA from 1 species
GGAAACUUCUGCUAAUCCCGGAUGAGCCGAAAGGAAAAGAUUUAUCGCCGGGAGAUGAGCUCGCGUCUGAUUAGCUAGUUGGUGAGGUNNAGGCUCACCAAGGCGACGAUCAGUAGCUGGUCUGAGAGGANGAUCAGCCACACUGGGACUGAGACACGGCCCAGACUCCUACGGGAGGCAGCAGUGGGGAAUUUUCCGCAAUGGGCGCAAGCCUGACGGAGCAAGACCGCGUGGGGGAGGAAGGCUCNNGGGUUGUAAACCUCUUUUCUCAAGGAAGAACACAAUGACGGUACUUGAGGAAUAAGCCUCGGCUAACUCCGUGCCAGCAGCCGCGGUAAUACGGAGGAGGCAAGCGUUAUCCGGAAUGUGGGCGUAAAGCGUCCGUAGGUGGCUGUUCAAGUCUGCUGUCAAAGACAGUGGCUUAACUACUGAAAGGCAGUGGAAACUGAACAGCUAGAGUACGGUAGGGNCAGAGGGAAUUCCCGGUG